UCUUCCCUUUCAGUCUCAAUUUGAAAAAUUGCUUUCUAGGUUAACUAAAUUACUAUGUUGUGCCCUUGAUCAGCAUUCUGCACAAACACUGUAUGUUCUUGUUCUUGUUAAUCUAGUUUACAGGCAAAAUAUAAUCUAAUUACAUAAAUAGCUGAAGGAAGUAUUUUCAGUAUUUCCUGCUGAUUGGGUAAUUCACGAAUUACUAAGAAUUUCUUUGGUUGAACAUUUCAAGGCUUAAAAGUUACAAUAAUUUCAGUUAUUGUUUUUUCCUUAAGGAUUAUUUGCUUAGCAGAAAAACUGGAAAACAGGGCUUACUAUGAGAUGUCAGAACCAGUCCUGCAAUCCCGAGACACCUUCGCAGCCGCAUUUUACUUCUGUUUUUGCAACAGGAAUGGAAGGUGAAAAGUAGGAGAAAACAAAAAUAAAAGACCAUUCAUUCUAAAGGAAGCAAAAUAGGGCCACCUCCAGAAGCUGAAGAUGAAAGAGUAAUGGAAAAGCAGACCACUAUCCUCCUCUCAUUCUCUCUCUCCUAAGCCACAUGUUAUGCCAACAGAGGACAGAAAAGCUUUGAAUCCAGUAUAAAAUUGCAACACUAAAUUCGACUGAUAAGAAAGUUAUGGAAUCCACUCGAGACAAUUUUAAGUGUCUGUGACAGAGCAUACAUAUGGCCCAUUGAAGAACAAUGAGUAGAAUAAAUGCAAAACGUGUCAUGUUUAUACCCUAUUGAGACAGACAUCUCAAUAAACUGAUUAUAAAAUUAUAACAAGCUAA